rnacentral:tRNA from 1 species
GGACCGGAUGGUGGGGCGGACACCAUCGGACUUAUAAUCCGAUCGAGCUGUUCUUCUGGUUCGGUUUCGGGCCGCACCA